rnacentral:rRNA from 1 species
UACGUAGGGUGCGAGCGUUGUCCGGAAUUAUUGGGCGUAAAGGGCUCGUAGGCGGUUUGUCGCGUCGGGAGUGAAAACCAUGGGCUUAACUCAUGGCUUGCUUUCGAUACGGGCAGACUGGAGGUAUGCAGGGGAGAACGGAAUUCCUGGUGUAGCGGUGAAAUGCGCAGAUAUCAGGAGGAACACCGGUGGCGAAGGCGGUUCUCUGGGCAUUACCUGACGCUGAGGAGCGAAAGUGUGGGGAGCGAACAGG